AAUUUAAUAUUUUCUUUAUGUACGAACAUAAUUUAUACAAGUAAGAGAAAUAUUUAGUUGGUUUCAGUUAUUAUAACAGUUAUAACGAAUAAAAAUGUAUGAAACAUAAAAAUGUAUGAGUGAGUGAAUUAAUAACUAAAACAAUUAGUCAUCAUCACAAUGGCAUACGUCAGCGAUGCUCCUCCUUAGAAUAUAACUCAGCCAACGAAAUAUAUAUUAGUUUAGACUGCCGCCUUCAAAACAUUUCAAUCAGAUGGAUGCAUCGCAGUAGUUUUAAAUAGACGCAUCCAAUAAUUUUUGAUUCGUCGGUAGAGUGUUUGUGAUUUUCGACAAGCUUAUCGGGCAGGCUGUCUAUCGCCGGGAAACGACCCGUGCGCUUUGUGCGAGUUUUUAACUGCGAAGACACAGUUAGACACUAGUGAAUUUCCAUGCGAGAGUUCAACAAACGGCACGCUUGCACACAUAUUUCAUUCUGAUGCUCAUUACUUAACAUUAAUUAAUAAGGGCAUACUUAAAGAUUUCCAGUCAAGCUAAUUAAUUGACUUACAUUCAUUAUUACAUUCUUAUUGGUAGCGAAGUUGCAACUGAUACUUCCUACAUUAUAAUUAAUCUCAAAAAUGAGCAAAGUUCAAGGCGGGGACAGAUUCCAUGUGGAGAAUAUCAUUUUGAAAAUUCUAAGAAGUUUUAAGCAAAA